UGCGGGGGGGGGCAAGCGUUGUUCGGAAUUACUGGGCGUAAAGGGCGCGUAGGCGGCCACCGCAAGUCAAUUGUGAAAUCUCCGGGCUUAACUCGGAAAGGUCAACUGAUACUGCGGGGCUAGAGUGCGGAAGGGGCAACUGGAAUUCUCGGUGUAGCGGUGAAAUGCGUAGAUAUCGAGAGGAACACCUGCGGCGAAGGCGGGUUGCUGGGCCGACACUGACGCUGAUGCGCGAAAGCCAGGGGAGCGAACGGG
rnacentral:rRNA from 1 species